GAUGAACGCUGGCGGCGUGCCUAAUACAUGCAAGUCGAGCGGUAAGGUUCUGCACUCACUAUUUGACCAGAUAAGUUUCGUGAGAAAUACUGUCUGCAGCGAUGGUCUCUGGCUAGAGGUCAUAGUGGAAUAAUGAGUGUAGAAUACACGAGCGGCGGACGGCUGAGUAACACGUAGGAACGUACCCCAAAGUGAGGGAUAAGCACCAGAAAUGGGUCUAAUACCGCAUGUGAUCUUCGGAUGAAAGCUUCGGCGCUUUGGGAACGGCCUGCGCAUGAUUAGCUUGUUGGUGAGGUAAUAGCUCACCAAGGCGACGAUCAUUAGCUGGUCUGAGAGGAUGAUCAGCCAGACUGGGAC
rnacentral:rRNA from 1 species